CCUAACACAUGCAAGUCGAACGGUAACAGGAAACAGCUUACUGUUUCGCUGACGAGUGGCGGACGGGUGAGUAAUGUCUGGGAAACUGCCUGAUGGAGGGGGAUAACUACUGGAAACGGUAGCUAAUACCGCAUAACGUCGCAAGACCAAAGAGGGGGACCUUCGGGCCUCUUGCCAUCGGAUGUGCCCAGAUGGGAUUAGCUUGUUGGUGGGGUAACGGCUCACCAAGGCGACGAUUCCUAGCUGGUCUGAGAGGAUGACCAGCCACACUGGAACUGAGACACGGUCCAGACUCCUACGGGAGGCAGCAGUGGGGAAUAUUGCACAAUGGGCGCAAGCCUGAUGCAGCCAUGCCGCGUGUAUGAAGAAGGCCUUCGGGUUGUAAAGUACUUUCAGCGGGGAGGAAGGGAGUAAAGUUAAUACCUUUGCUCAUUGACGUUACCC
rnacentral:rRNA from 1 species